CUUAUCCAGAAAACCCCAGGUCCCAGACAUUCUGGAUAACAGGUCCCAUACCUGUAAUAUAAAAUAAAGACUAACAAGUUCCUAUGUAUUCCUGGUUUCAUUAUUAGGCAGCAAUUCCACAUUGGUUAAAGCUGAACUUUUAAUAAAUGUGGUUAUGAGAUUUCUGCUUUCUCAUUAGUAAUGUCUCAGAUAACAGAAUGCGCUUUCAGUAUGAUGUAAGGAACCAUAGUCUCAGCCUGCCAUCCUUUUCCUUUAUCGUUAGUGAUUUGCUCCUUUUUCUAACCCAAAAUAUAAAAUUCUCCAUGGUUGUCGGGGUCAGUGAAACCCAGGAAACAGAUACAUUCUGGAUAAAGAUAUUUAUAGAUAUUUUUGAUUACUUAUAGGGGCAAUUUACCUUUAAAUAUUUAUUGUAGUGUUAAAAGAGUUGUAUUCUGAAAUAAAUUGCAAAUAAACUAGUUAUCUUUCAAUGCUGCCUCUCUCACUGUGGUUGCUGGGACACUGACCUGGGUAUCUUGGGGCUACAUUUUUAUAGGUAUUAUUGUUUUAUAUUAUUACUUAUGUUUCUCUUAUUUAUCUUCCAGGCUGCCAUUCAAAUGACUGCCCGGUUGCUAGGACAAUUCCAAGUUAUUACGUUGCUGCUAUGUGUCGUCCAGUAAAUCACAGCAACACAUCUCUAUGUGCUGUAUAAUUCAGGCCUGUCCCAACUUCAGCUUUUUUUUGAUUGAUGAGGAGAACUGACAGAAUAUGCGCACUCAGAGCCCUACCAAAUGCACAUAAGGAGGUCUGCCCUAUGCAACCCAGCUGGCCACCGCGCCCCCCCCUCCGCACAUGCAUGCACACACAGGGGGGAGCGCUGGGAAAUCAGCUGUAGGGGUAAGCGAUCCCAGACUAGGGGUUGGCAACAGAAGUACCUGCAUUGCGCCCCCUCACUGUUGCGCCCUAGGCAGGUGCCUCUUCUGCCUACCCCUAGUUCUGGCCCUGAGUUGAAGCUUCACAGUUCACAAAGGAGAAAAAAAGUCAGUCACUGGCGAAUUCCAAACGUUGGGCAUCCCCCCAUUUACCUCACUUACCUGAUACCCCAGGCCAGUGCUUCUGUUAGCAUUAAACUGUCCCAGCCGGGGUUAUUCCAGUGAGCACUAUAGAGAGAUUCCCUUCAUGCAUCUCCUUUAUUCACCCGGGUGCACGUGUGCAAAGCCAAACUAAAUAGCUGACUUUUUCACUGUACUGCUCAAAAGAAGCAGAAGAAAAGGAUUGCCGGAACUAGGGGUAGGCAGAGGAGGCACGUGCCUAGGGCACAAUGGCCAGGGGCACCAGGCACACAGCUCUUUCAGCCAUCCCUAGUCUGGACCCACCCAUGUCCCCCUCACUGCCUGUCUUCAUUUUCUUCCCCCUAUCUUCAGAGUGGCCGUGUACGUACAUCCGCGCACACCUGCUUAUGUGCAGACGCGUGGAGUGGUGGGCAUGGUGGGUAGCUGUGUUGCCUAGGGCACCAGCCCAACUUGCUUGCUACAAAGGACUCCGGACCAAUGUAGCUAACUGCUGCACGGGAACACCAGCCCAGGGUAUUAGGCAAGUGAAUACAAUCAUUGAGGGGUGUUUAACUUUUAGCACCCAUGAGUGAUAGUGACUUUCCUUCUCCUUUAAUAUAUUGUUUUAUUGCGGGGGGUCAGUAACCCCGACAGCCGGAUAGCUUUUUUCAACUUCAAACCAGGAACAGGCAAAAGGAAAACUAGAUAUUUCCCCUUUAAUUUAAUUGUAGUUGGUUUAGCCCUGCAACUUGCUUUUAGAAGUGUCCUUGAGUGGUUUCUUAUACUUGCCAGCGUUUGUGGUAGUUUAAUCUUAAAAGUCACUGAGAAUGCUGAACCA